AGCCUAUUUGGAUCGGAGUCUGGAACUUCUCACUGUUACUCCCAACAGCUGUAAACUAAACAAUAGUAUGUAACUCCAUAGGAAGCUUAAGGAUUGAGGAUAUGUACACAGCUAAUUAUAUCUCCCCUGCUUCGCGCUCUUCAGAGCUCCUCCUGUCUUCUGAUCUGCCAUUAGCGCUCUCAUAGGACCGCUUCUUAUCUUUUCGAUCUCUGUCACGAGGUGAUCUGUCUCUUGAAUUCCUGUCUCUGUCACGUGAUGCUAAGUCUUGGUCUCUGAAUCUUUCUUUUGAGGAUCUGAAAAAUAUUAAUUUGAGGAGCAAAAUGUGUUGGGAAACCCAAUAUCCAAAUGAAAGAAUCGGAUAAAUAUUAAGGUACUGAUAGCUGAAGUUAUACAGAAUACAUCCAAGAAAGACAAGAGGAGCCAGUUUUCUGACCGAAAAGAGCACUCACUACCUACCCAUUCUGACAAGGGAGAUGGGUGAAAACAAACAGCUAAGGGUCAGAAACCAUAAGCUAAAAUAAUGACUUAAUGGAGGAUAUUCUCAUUAUCUGAGGCAAUCAUAAAGGUUUUCCAAUUAAUGGCAAACAUAUUUGCCAUUAAUGGCAAAAGGUUUCCAAUUAAUGGCAAACAUAAAAAUAGUAUAGAGACAAUACCUUAAAAAAAAUCAAAGUGUUAACUAAUUUUUUAAAAAACAAAAUAGAGGUUCCAAAUUGGGUAGAAACUAAGGAUGUAGAAUGGGGGGUCAGCAGACCUUUUUCUCUUUGCUGUCUGGCCAGAGAUUCAAUUAUUUUAGGGGGUAUUCUUCUUCCUUUUCUUUUUAUCAACCCUUUAACAAUGUAAAAACCACCCAUAGCUCCCUAGCUAUUCAAAGAACAGGUUAUGAGGCCAGAUUGGCCUGCAGGCAACAGUUUGCCAAUACUUGACUUGGAUAAGAGAACUAAUCAAUGACAUGGCUUUAAAUAACCCUUUAUUAUUUUUGCAAUCUUCUUUAUUCUUCCUGAGUGAGCUUAUUCAACCAAAAUAAGAAUGGAAGACACAGAAAGAUGAUCAUCCUAUAUCCUGAUUAACCAUAAUGGUUUCUUCAUAUCAUCUCUCCAUUCCCAUACUCAAUUUCAUUAAGAAAGAAUGGAAUAUGGAGAGAGAUGAUGCCUAAGAAUUAAGGACACAGUUGCAGGUAAGUCUCAGGUCAGUACUAACUGGAAAAUAACCAUGAGAUGAGCAUCAACUAGGAUUUUGUGAGAGAUUACAACAUCCCAUCCAUAAGCAGUUUACUUACACUAUGUCAAUCAAAUUACCACUAAUCCUGAUAACAUAGGUACUUCAAAGAUGGGGAAGGACAGGAUAAUGAUCCUUGGCCAAAGGCCACUGAACCCAAGUAGUCUCUCAAGUCUGCACUAGGUGUUUGAACAGACCAGGAAGUAGAAAAAUGCAAGUAAGUCCUCAUUUAUUAAGAUAGCUGUUGCCAAGGAAAUGUCACCAACAGAAUUAUAUCAGACCAGCAUUUCACAGUUGGGGAAAAGCAUAUAGUAAUAAGACUUGUAACUUGGACCUUUACCUUGAAAUUUAAACUCAAAUAUUUAGCAAUUGGCUGCUAAUUUUUGGUAAAAACACAGAAGAUUGCUUUGAUAAAGAAUAAGUUGCCGAGAUUAGAAGUGCUCUUGAGAAAAGCAAAAACUUUUAAUAGUUAUACAAAAAUAAACCUGUUUAUGAACAUGCUGAAAAUAUUAAGGGUGUCAUGUAGGAUAAUGAAAAACUGUCCUAUACAACUUCAAAAAUGCAGGAAUCAUUAGGGACUAGGAUAACACAAUCCCCGGUGAGGAGACAUGCCCCUCCCUUCCAUCCCCACCCCCAUUUAAUAAAGACAUUUAAGAGUUCACAGAUACCAGAAACAAUGACCAGUGGGCAGGUUCACAAAACAAACUCUCUAGGCCUUCCAUCAACCAGUAGGGUGACUCUUAAAAUAUACAGUUCAGGUAAACCACAGGGGAAAAUUUCUACAUUGAUCUGUGAUAUUCAGUCCAUCUCAAAUAUCUUUUUACUACCUGGUUUUACCUACUAGCUGAAGCCAUUUUUAUUUCUCUGGUAUUUCCCUCAUCUAAACUCUUGUAUUACUCUGGAUGUACACAGUAGCACUUUAUAUGUUAAAAGAUGUUAGUCUUAUGUUCUAACUUGAAUAAAGUUGCUCAACUAUGGUAUA